rnacentral:misc_RNA from 1 species
AAAAUCAUCAAAAGUCAAAUUUAAAAACUAAACUUUGGUUUCGCCAGAAAACCACAAAAAAUUCUUCGUGCACAAACAUAAUGCUUUUUUAAACCAAAUUAUCCCUUCGAGGAUAACAUCACCUUUUCGUUUUGCGACGCAUGUAUUGAAGAUUGUUAUGACCAUCGUCAAGCGGGGAUUACCUCAGGUGGCAAAGGAUGUAAAACGCGUUGAAGAAAACACUAGCAAGGAUAAACAAAAAAAUGUAAAAUCCGUACAGAAAGUAACAUCACCAAAUAAUUCCCAGGAAUAUCGUCCUAAAAAACUAAGCGCAAAAAAAGGGAAAGCUUCCGACAAGUUAUCUAGUGGCGGAUCAGCUCGUGUUAAGAAAAAAGGAAUUGUACAAAACAAAAACUCGCCCUCAACAUCUUUGAAAGGAACACCUACCAAGCGCGUUUCUAUUGAUAAUGGAACAAACAAAAAAAACAUUAUUAAUAAUAAUGAUAACAAUAAUAAUUAUAGAAAGACUCCAGAUGGAAAAACUAAUAGAACGGCUUCUAACGAAGGUAGAAAAGAAGAUCUUAAAAGAAUUGCGAAAUCAGAAAGAGAAAAGUUUUCAAAAGAAAAAUUACAAAACUAUGUUAAUUACAUAACAACUAAAAUAAUGAAAGAUAGACCUUCCGAAGGAGUUGCAAAAUUAAAAAUUGAUAAUAGCUUUACUCCGACGAAACUUUUUGGUACUUUAGGAUAUUAUCAAUCAAAACUAAACGAAAUAAAUAAAAAUACUAUCACCGUUCGUCCAGUAUCUGAUUCCCCAGUUACUGAUGUACAACAAGAUAGAAAUAAACUUGGUGUUAAAGCAUCUGCAAAAAAAAUCACAUCGAAACAUUCUAAACAUUCCGAAAGAAAAGGUUCAUUUCUUAAAAAGGAUCAUCAUAAAGCACCAUCUAAAAUAAAUGUAAGAGAAUUAAUUCAAUCUUCUGCGAGUAACAAACCAGUAAUAAACUUACCAUUCGAAAAAGUUGAUCAACAACUUAAACCAAAAAGUAGCGUUGCCAAGUAUUUAAGUUCACAGUCAAGUUCCCAUAGAUCUUCGAAAACGCGAACCCCAAUCAAAGUCGGUAGUUUUACGGUUAAUUUAAGUUUACAAGAAAGAACCAGCAGUAGAUACAAAAGACUGAAGUAUCAAACAGGAGAAGAACUUUUAAAAUUUUAUAAAAAUUAUUUCUUUUACCAUGAUUGUAGAGAUCGAGUCGAUAAAGCAAUUAAAGAUAGAAAAACGUUCACAGUUUGUGGUAAUUUUUGGAGUGUACGAAAAGCUUUAAUAGCAAGAGGAUGGGUCGAAAAAAUUCAUUACGCUUACGCGCAUCCCGAUAGAGAUAUGAUGAAAAAGCUUUUAGGACAAAGUUUGAAUGACCUCAUCGAAGGUGUUUCCGAUAAAAGUUACGGUCCUUUAUACAAACGUGUAAUCAUGUCGAAAAUGUUAAGUCGGCAUCAAGUAGAUUUAUUCUGGGAUUAUGGUUGCGAUCCUUACAAACUAAAUCCUGACUCUGUAAAAUUAACGAUAAUCAAUCACAUCAGACGAGGAUACUGUAGUUAUUCGUCGAAAGAAGGUCUUUGCGAAAUUAUGAAAAAAGCACAUUGGUAUCAUUUCCCGGGAAUAUCAAAUUUACGACAUCCACGAUCAUAUACUUUAACUGAUAACGGAGAUCCAGAAGAAUUUAUUAGAGAUUUCCGUGUAACGGCGGCAAUAUCUAUGUUAAAAUGGAUAGCAGCAACGACAGAUAGUUCUUCAGGAAAAGUAAUCUCCGAGGCAGGGAAAGUACCUGUUAAAUACUUUCAUUUUGCAAUUAACGAAUGCGAAAGACACGUUCAAAAAAUUAAACACGACGACAUCGAUGAUGAGAUUCCCGAACCAAACGAAUGCGAAUGGAACGGAUUUUUAGAAAAUUACUAUCGAUGUGUUCACAUUGGUAACCACUUUAAAAAGGGCGAAGAGGAAACCGAACAAUCAAUGAUACAUAAAGCGAAAAUUAUGAUCAAUAAACUAAAAAGAUAUUGUUCGUACAUUGAUAUGGAUGGAUACAUGAAUAUAUGGAUUUUAAAACCAACCGCUGGAAGUAGAGGAAUUGGUAUUCACAUUUGUAGGACUUUAUCUUACGUUUUAAGGGUUGUUUCUGAAAGGAAAACGGUUAAAUAUGUUAUACAAAAAUAUAUUGAACGACCUCUUCUUAUUUAUAACACCAAGUUUGAUAUUAGACAAUGGUUUUUGAUCAGUUGUACAAAUCCUUUAACUAUUUGGAUGUACAAGAUGUGUUAUUUAAGAUUUAGUUCUCAAACGUACAACUUAAGAAAACUACACGAAAGUAUCCAUCUAACAAAUAAUUCGGUUCAAUGCAAAUACAGGAAUGUAAACAGAGAUCCCGCUUUGCCGGAUCAUAAUAUGUGGGAUUCAAAUCGAUUUAAAACGUACUUAGAAACGAUCGGCUAUCCAAACGCGUACGAUGCGAUUAUUUAUCCUGGAAUGAAACAGUGUAUAACCGCAUCGAUCCUGAUCCACCAAGAAAACAUAAACACAAGAAGGAAUUGCUUUGAAUUAUACGGAGCCGAUUUUAUGUUAACCGAAGAUUUCCAACCGUGGCUAAUUGAAAUUAAUUCUCGACCAGCUCUUUAUGCGUCAACUCCAGUUACAGGUCGAAUGUGUCCUCAAGUUCUAGAAGAUGUCGUUAAAGUCAUUAUUGAUUAUCCAUGUAACCCGAAAGCAAAUACGGGUCAUUUUGAUUUAGCCUACAAGGAACAACUAACGUCACUUCCAUCGGUAGACACCUCGUCGUUGGUGAUUCGUGGAGAGCCUCUGUCGCCAAGCUAUUUUGUAUCACCGUCGACGAGCGCGACAACCGGUGCUGCAGCGAGCAGCUGAAGAAGACACUGAAGAACUUGCUGGCUGUAAUCGCGAAAGAACGAGAACGACGCAAAAAGAUACGACAAGCGACAUCCACAAAUACAGCGAUACGUAAAUCAGCAGCGGCUAUAACGGAUGGUGGCGAUAUUCCAUACGCCAUCGCUAUAACAAAUGUUAACGAUGAGUUGAAAGAAAUCCAAGAAAUUUUUCGACCAAGACAUCUUAAUGAUAAAAGAUUAGGAAGGAUUAUGAAAAGUCUUUCCGUACGAAACAACGCAUCGGACAUAGUACACCGAAUUUGAUAGAUAAAUCCGAAAUUACUUCAUCAUCUUGCGAAUUGAAACCAGAUAGUAUUGAAAAUCUUUCUAAAGAAGAAGAAAUUGCUAUUAAUAAGUACAAAGAGAUACUGCAACGGACGAAUUGUGAUUCUAAUGUUAAAAUAGCUAAAAGUGGAUUUCUAGAGGAAAUGGAUAAUUAUUUUUCAUUUUGGAAAACUUUUUCUAGUGGGAGAAAAAUGAUUUCUAGUGCUCCACCUUCAACCGGUUGUUCCAAGAAUAAAAUCGAAAAUAAAUUUAUAAGAUUAUAAAAAAAUAAGUCCGCAUUAAAUUUCGACUGUCUUACGAUGACCAUCAUAAAGUCCGUCCAAUGCAACCAAUGGGUCCAGAGCGAAAAAGUCUGCUAUCUCAACUACGGUAAAAAAAUGUAAUUUGUACCGAUUCUUUUUUUUUUUCAAAUAAAGCCUGAACGAAAUAAAGUACACAUAAAAAUUGA